rnacentral:rRNA from 1 species
GAUCUGGCUCAGGAUGAACGCUAGCUACAGGCUUAACACAUGCAAGUCGAGGGGCAGCAUGUCGGUUGCUUGCAACCGAUGAUGGCGACCGGCGCACGGGUGAGUAACGCGUAUCCAACCUACCCUUGUCCAUCGGAUAACCCGUCGAAAGGCGGCCUAACACGAUAUGCGGUUCACAGCAGGCAUCUAAGGUGAACGAAAUGUGAAGGAGAAGGAUGGGGAUGCGU